AGAGUUUGAUCAUGGCUCAGAACGAACGCUGGCGGCGUGGAUAAGACAUGCAAGUCGAGCGCUGAUUUCAGGGUAGCAAUAUUCUGGAGUCGGAGCGGCGCAAGGGUGCGUAACACGUGGGUAAUCUGCCAUGAAGUUCGGGAUAACUUGCUGAAAGGCGAGCUAAUACCGGAUGUGACAACUGGGAGGCAUCUCCUGGUUGUUAAAGUUGGGGACCGUAAGGCCUGACGCUUCUUGAUGAACCCGCGGCCUAUCAGCUAGUUGGUGAGGUAACGGCUCACCAAGGCUAAGACGGGUAGCUGGUCUGAGAGGACGACCAGCCACACUGGAACUGAGACACGGUCCAGACACCUACGGGUGGCAGCAGUCGAGAAUUUUUCACAAUGGGCGCAAGCCUGAUGGAGCGACGCCGCGUGGGGGAUGAAUGGCUUCGGCCCGUAAACCCCUGUCAUUUGCGAUCAAACCUCAUUAUUUAAAAGAUGAUGAGCUGAUAGUAGCGAAAGAGGAAGGGACGGCUAACUCUGUGCCAGCAGCCGCGGUAAUACAGAGGUCCCGAGCGUUGUUCGGAUUCACUGGGCGUAAAGGGUGCGUAGGUGGUGAGGUAAGUCGGAUGUGAAAGCUCGGAGCUCAGCUCCGAAAUGGCAUUGGAAACUACCUUGCUCGAGGGUUGGAGGGGGGACUGGAAUACUUGGUGUAGCAGUGAAAUGCGUAGAUAUCAAGUGGAACACCAGUGGCGAAGGCGAGUCCCUGGACAACUCCUGACACUGAGGCACGAAAGCUAGGGGAGCAAACAGGAUUAGAUACCCUAGUAGUCC
rnacentral:rRNA from 1 species